GUCGGUUUGUCGCUAUAUCGUAUAGACGGUGACUGGGUGGAGGACACGAAGCUUUGGCCACGGCGUCAGAGAACAUGCAAAGCGCUUUCGGAUCUUAUUAAGCUAUGUCCAAACGGAGCGAGCAG
rnacentral:lncRNA from 1 species